rnacentral:misc_RNA from 1 species
GAUGAAGAACGUAGCGAAAUGCGAUAAGUAAUGUGAAUUGCAGAAUUCAGUGAAUCAUCGAAUCUUUGAACGCACCUUGCACCCUUUGGCAUUCCGAAGGGUAUGCUCGUUUGAGUGUCAUUGUACUCUCACACUUCCGAUCUUUGGAUUGGGAGCGGUGGACUUGGGUGUUGCUGCUUACUGUGGCUCACCUCAAAUCGAUUCGUGCACCUCUUGGUUGGACAUAGUACGGCGUGAUAAGUGUCUUCGCCGGCACCUCAGUAGAGGGUGGCUGAUCGGGAGCUCUGCUUCAAACCGUCCUCGGACAACAACUGACAACUUGGCCUCAAAUCGAGUAGGACUACCCGCUGAACUUAAGCAUAUCAAUAAGCGGAGGA